CCUACGGGUGGCAGCAGUGAGGAAUAUUGGUCAAUGGACGCGAGCCUGAACCAGCCAUGCCGCGUGCAGGAUGACUGCUCUAUGGGUUGUAAACUUCUUUUAUACGAGGAUAAAUUGAGGUACGUGUGCCUGUUUGUAUGUAUCUUAUGAAUAAGGAUCGGCUAACUCCGUGCCAGCAGCCGCGGUAAUACGGAGGAUCCGAGCGUUAUCCGGAUUUAUUGGGUUUAAAGGGUGCGUAGGUGGGUUGUUAAGUUAGUUGUGAAAGACUGAGGCUCAACUGUAACAUUGCAAUUGAUACUGGCAGUCUUGAGUAUAGUUGAGGUAGGCGGAAUUCGUGGUGUAGCGGUGAAAUGCUUAGAUAUCACGAAGAACUCCGAUUGCGAAGGCAGCUUACCAAACUGCGACUGACAUUGAUGCACGAAAGUGUGGGGAUCAAACAGGAUUAGAUACCCUUGUAGUC
rnacentral:rRNA from 1 species